GUUUUUGAUAUGGAUUAUUAGUAUAAAUGAAUUACCAAUGAGUUCUUAUUAGGAAUGAAAACACAAUGCUCAAAUAAUAUAAAUACGAUAGAUGGAUAAGCAUUGGUUCGUUAAAAAGAAACCACGAACCCGGAGUUUGUAUUGAUAUUUACUGCUAGCAUAACAUUGAAAAUGGAAAUGGUGAAUAGGUCAAAGAGAUAACAACCCGACAAAAAGGCAUAGUUUAAUUUAAAGGCCUCUUUAGACAAUAUUGCUGUUUGAUUCUUACAGCAGUUCUGUUACUUUUAUUCUUGUCUUAUUGCUUAUAACUUUAGUGGAAAUGCAUUUGAUUAUACAAUUUGAUUGUAAUUUAUUGAAAUCAAUACUAUUUGUUUUUUGUACUUGUAUAGUAACGAC
rnacentral:lncRNA from 1 species